AGUGAACGCUGGCGGCAGGCCUAAUACAUGCAAGUCGAACGGCGGCACAGUGGAGCUUGCUCCAUGGGUGGCGAGUGGCGGACGGGUGAGGAAUACAUGGGAAUCUGCCCAGUCGUGGGGGAUAACGUAGGGAAACUUACGCUAAUACCGCAUGCGCCCUUCGGGGGAAAGCCGGGGACCUUCGGGCCUGGCGCGAUUGGAUGAGCCCAUGUUCGAUUAGCUAGUUGGCGGGGUAAAGGCCCACCAAGGCGACGAUCGAUAGCUGGUCUGAGAGGAUGAUCAGCCACACUGGGACUGAGACACGGCCCAGACUCCUACGGGAGGUAGCAGUAGGGAAUAUUGGACAAUGGGCGCAAGCCUGAUCCAGCCAUGCCGCGUGAGUGAAGAAGGCCCUCGGGUUGUAAAGCUCUUUUGUCCGGGAAGAAAAGCAUCGGGCUAAUACCUCGGUGUUCUGACGGUACCGGAAGAAUAAGCACCGGCUAACUUCGUG
rnacentral:rRNA from 1 species